rnacentral:rRNA from 1 species
AUGUUGUUGCAGUUAAAAAGCUCGUAGUUGAAGUUCGGCGGUCACCGCCUAUCCGCGAGGGUUCCCGAUCCCUAAAAAGUUCUGUUUCCCGACCGGACCUUUACUGUGAACAAAUCAGAGUGCUCAAAGCAGGCUUUCGCUUGUAUGAUAAAGCAUGGAAUAAUGAAACAAGACUUUUGUCUUUUGUUGGUUAUGACAGAAGUAAUGAUUAACAGAAUCAGUUGGGGGCAUUCGUAUUUUAUCGUCAGAGGUGGAAUUCUAAGAUUGAUAAAAGACGAACUAAUGCGAAAGCAUUUGCCAAGAAUGUUUUCAUUAAUCAAGAACGAAAGUUAGGGGAUCAAAGACGAUUAGAUACCGUCGUAGUCCUAACUAUAAACUAUACCGACUAGGGAUUGGGGAGUCAUCAAGCUCCUCAGCACCUAAUGAGAAAUCAAAGUCUUUGGGUUCUUGGGGGAGUUGACGUUAAUACAGCCGUAAUUAACCGGAGGCCCAGAACCCGUCGGUGUAGCCACUCCACAGACCAGCUCCAGUCGGGCGGCGACGCCCGGCUAGUCGCGAGGCAGCACUUUCAAAUUGCGGGGAAGCCCAAAUGUCCGUUCCACCGCGGCUGCUCGAAAGAGCCAGCGCAGCAGCAGG